rnacentral:rRNA from 1 species
AUUGAACGCUGGCGGCAGGCCUAACACAUGCAAGUCGAGCGGAUGAAGGGAGCUUGCUCCUGGAUUCAGCGGCGGACGGGUGAGUAAUGCCUAGGAAUCUGCCUAGUAGUGGGGGAUAACGUCCGGAAACGGGCGCUAAUACCGCAUACGUCCUGAGGGAGAAAGUGGGGGAUCUUCGGACCUCACGCUAUCAGAUGAGCCUAGGUCGGAUUAGCUAGUUGGUGGGGUAAAGGCCUACCAAGGCGACGAUCCGUAACUGGUCUGAGAGGAUGAUCAGUCACACUGGAACUGAGACACGGUCCAGACUCCUACGGGAGGCAGCAGUGGGGAAUAUUGGACAAUGGGCGAAAGCCUGAUCCAGCCAUGCCGCGUGUGUGAAGAAGGUCUUCGGAUUGUAAAGCACUUUAAGUUGGGAGGAGGGGCAGUAAGUUAAUACCUUGCUGUUUUGACGUUACCAACAGAAUAAGCACCGGCUAACUUCGUG